GCACUACUGAAGAGUCCCAUAGUAGGACGAAACAGCUGUCCAGUGC
rnacentral:hammerhead_ribozyme from 1 species